AGGCAUGUACCUUGGCUUUACCCAGAUGGAGUGGUAUGACAGGAUUUACCCCUCCCUGUCGGGGGAGGAUCUACCCAUGGAGUGUGUUUAGGAGGCAGGGGAAAUACUGUACCUGCCAGAGGGGACCUACCAUGGUACUAUUAACCUGGGAGACACAGUAGCUAUUGGAAUACAGAAGAAAGAGGCUUCCAUAGAGACAGAAAAACUCUUCUACAAAGAGCUGAAUCUGGAACAAGCUACACCUGGUGCCACCAGAGAUCGACUUCUGCAGGAGAGGAUCCAAAUUUUUCAGAAGCUCCAUAAACUUCUACCUGAGAGUACAGAGGUACUGAUGAAGUUAGGACAGGCUUAUUCUGACACGGGGAGGGUUGAUGUAGGAAUAAAAUUUACCCAGCAGGCCAUAGACAAAGACCCCCACUUCCUUAUAGCUCACCUGAACAAAGCCAAGA